rnacentral:lncRNA from 1 species
AAAAAAAAAAAAAAAAAAAAAAAAAAAAAAAGAAAUCUGCUGAUAGCCUUAUGAGGGUUCUCUUGUAUGUGAUGAGUCAUUUUUCUCUUGCUAAUUUCAAGAUUCUCUCUUUGUCUCUGACUUUUAACAUUUUUAUUUAACGUAUGUCAGAGUAAUCUUUGUUGUGUUGAUUUUGCUUAGGGGCUUUUGAACUUCCUAUAUGUGGAUGUUCAUAUCUGUCCCAAGAUUUGGGACGUUUUCAGCUAUUAUAUAUUUAAAUACGCUUUCUUCUCUUGAGACUACCAUGAUGUAAAUGUCUGUUCCUUGAUGGUGACCCAUAAUUCAUGUAAGCUUUCUUCACUUUUUUUUUUGCUUUUUUUUUAAGGGCUUCACCUGCAUCAUGUGGAAGUUCCCAAGCUAUGGGCUGAAUUGGAGCUGUAGCUCUUGGCCUAUACCACAGUCACAGCAACUCAGGAUCCAAGCCGCAUCUGUGACUUACACCACAGCUCAUGGCAAUGCUGGAUCCUUAAUCCACUGAACAGGACCAGGGAUCAAACCUACAUCCUCAUGGAUACUAGUUUGAUUCUUAACCCACUAAGCCACAGUGGGAACUUCAUCUUCACUUUUUUAUUCUUUUUUUUUCUUUUUCCCUCUAACUGACUAAUCUCAAAUAAUUUGUUUCUGAGUUUGAUUCCUUGUUAUACGUGAUCAAGUCUAUUGUUGAAGCUCUCUAUUGAAUUUUCUAGGUCUGUUGUAUUCUUCAGCUUCAAGACUUCUGUUUGCUUCUUUCUGUGGUGUCUAUUUCUUUAUAAAUCUUCUCAUUUUAUUUAUACAUCAUUUUACAGAUUUUGUAAACAACUCUCCUUAAGGUAGUGAUUCUCUCUCUCUCUCUCUCUCUCUCUCACACACACACACACACACACACACACACUGCCACUGGCCACAUACACAUUUUUAAGCCAGUGCCUAAACUAUUUUUUAAAGUUGGGUUGUACUAUUUGUGUCUGGGUGAGAUCUCUUGGAUAUUUCUCCAGAAGUAGAGCAUAUGAUUUGUGUUAAAAAUUAUAUAUUCUUCAGAACCACACACAAGCUAAUUAGAAAACCUUACCUUAAUGGCUGGGUCUAUCAUCCAUUUUACCUUGACAAAUAUUGACAGUUUCCUGAAGGCCAACCUUGUUCUUUCCAAGAUUUGUACAUAGCACCUUAUGGGAAAUGGGAGGCUUUAGUAAAUAUUAUUAAGGGUGGAGGUAAGUUAAGGCUAUGUCUUGGUCUUUUACAAUUAUCUUUCCAUUUACAUAUCUAACAAUUGGAAAAGACUAGUUUACAAUGGAAAAUUAAAAUCAAGGGUAAAAUUUUCAGUGAAAAUUUGUUUUACUGAACUAAAGGAUAAAACUCUGCGAUAAUAAAGACACAUAUUUCUUUUCUCUUAACACAGUUUCUCUUUCCAACUAUUUAUUUUGAAAACAUUUUAGACUUACACAAAAGUUUCAGCGAUUAUUGAGCGUCCCUGUUUAUCCUUCACUCACUUUCCUUUAAUAUUAACAUCUUACAUAACCAGGUAAAUGAUUGAAGUCAAAAAAUUUAACAUUAAUACAAUACUCUUAAAUGCCUACAGACCUUACUGAAAUUUCAUCACCUUUCCCACUAAUGUCCUUUUCCUGGUCUGGCAACCAACCCAAUGUUGCAUUCAGUUACCACGUUUCCUUAGUAUCUACAAGUCUAUGACACUUCCUAGGUCUUUCUUUAUCUAUCAUGAUCUUGAAACUUUUUAAAAUACUGGUCUGUUACUUUUUUAUAAUGUUCCUCAAUUUGGUUUUGCUUGUGGUUCUCUGAUAAUUAAAUUCACGUUUUGCAUUUUUGGCAAGAAAAAUCACAGAAAUGCUGUUUAGGUCUUUAAUCUGUAUUGAGUUUAUUUUGGUGUAUGAUGUUAAAGAAUGUUCUGAUUUCAUUCUUUUGCAUGUAGCUGUCCAGUUUUCUCAGCAUCACUUGUUGAAGAGACUCUUUUCUCCAUUUUACAUCUUUGCCUCCUUCGCCAUAGGUUAGUUGACCAUAAGUAUGUGGGUUUAUCUCUGGGCUUUAUUUCCUGUUUCAUUGAUCUAUAUCUCUUUUUUUAAUGCUAGUACCAUGCUGUUUUUAUGACUGUAGUUUUGUAGUAUACUCUGAAGCCUGGAAGUCUGAUUCCUCCAGUUCUGUUUUUCUUCUUCAAGAUUGCUUUGGCUAUUUGAGGUCUUUUGUGUUUCCACACAAAUUAAAACAAUUUUUUUUGGUUCUAGUUCUGUGAAAAAUGUCAUUGGUAAUUCGAUAGGGAUUGCAUUGAAUCUGUAGGUUGCCUUGGGUAGUAUAGUCACUUUGACAGUAUUGAUUCUUCCAAUCCAAGAGCAACUGUCAUGGAAUGCCUCCAGAUUUCUCACUUUCUUGCCAUCCCUCAGUAUGCAAAGCAAUACAUACUCCUUUCCCUGAAAAUUUUCAUUGUUGAGGAAAAAUUUGUAAGACUUUGAUCUGAGCAACAAAACCAACAAGGUUUUAUUGGGUCAUAUUCUAGAAUAUAAACACUUGUUUUAAGCCUGAAAUGAUUGGAUAGAAAUGACAAUUCAUAAAGUUUGGUUAUUUUUUCCCCCCUCAUAAUCCUGAGAAAGACAAAUAAAAUUUUUGUGCCAUGAGUAAGAGUUGUGAAGUGGUCAUCAGACUACAGUGUCUAUAGUUCCCAGAUUUGAUUUGUAUCAUAGAAUUUUCAGAGUUAUCUAGUUUAGCUUCUUUGUUUUACAAUGAGGAAAUUGUCCCAAUGUUUGGUAUACUGUUUUAUUUUUAUUUUUAUUUAUUUAUUUUUAUUGAAGUAUAUUGAUUUACAAUGUGUUGUUUCUGAUGUACAUACACGUGUGUGUGUGUAUAUGUAUAAAAUAUAUAAUGAGUUGUGUGUGUGUGUGUGUGUGUGUGUGUGUGUGUGUGUGUACACACAAUAUCUUCUUUAUCCAUUCAUUUGUAGUUAGACAUUUAAGUUGCUCCCAUGUCUUAGCUAUUGUAAAUAGCACUACUAUGAACUUACGUGUGCAUGUAUCUUUUUGAAUUAUUGUUUUGUCUUGAAUAAUGCCCAGGGGUGGGAUUGCUGCAUCCCACCCCUAAAAAUAGUAACUCUAUUUUUAGUUUCUUGAGGAACCACCAUACUGUCCUCCAUGGUGACUGUGCCAAUUUACAUUCACACCAACAGCAUAGGUGGCUUCUCUUGUAUUGUUGAUGCUAGUUAUUUGUUUAAUGAAUGAGUUAAAUGACGUGCCUUAGUUUCACAGAGGUACCGUCAGCACCAGAACUCAAUAGGACACUGACUUGGCACCCAUUUCUUUGUGCAGGUACACAUUAAUCCCUAGAGUUGAUGCCUGUGUUUUGGGGCAUCUAGUGUUACUGAAGAAGCCCCAGACAGAGAAAGCAACUCAAGGUAGGGAGUAUAUCUGAUUAUUUCUCUCCUGUCAGGACCACUCAUAGGACUGUAUGAAAAGUAAAUCAUUUGCUGGUGGGGUUUAGUAAACUUUUUAAACUAAUCUGCAUUGUGAAGCCUGAAAAUCAAGCAGAUAAUUUAUAAAAGUAGAAAGGUGAGCUGCUCUUGACUUUUCAUUGAGAAAAAUCUAUCAGAAACUAACCUUCAAGCUUAGAAUUGCAGUGGGGUUAGUGGAGAUGGGCACUGGGGAUCAAGGGAAAAAUGUAGACUUUGAAUACUCUUAACCCAAAUCCAGUUAUGCUUCCUUGAAACUCUCCCACUCUGUCCCGGUGAAUGUGGUCAGGCAAUGUAGAAGCCUGUAGGGAGAAUGUCAGUAUUCAGGUUUCCUUGGAAAGUGACUUUUAUGUUUCUCUUUGAAAAAUUAACAUGGUUAAAUUCAUUUGAGUAAUAAAAAAAAAGAAAAA